rnacentral:lncRNA from 1 species
GUUAGCAGCAUCACCAUGGCCAAACUGACCGGUACACAGUGUGAGCGGGGACCAUUGACCUCAGCAAAGGCGGGAAGAGAUGUGGACAGACCACAAAGUCCUGAGCAGAAGAGCCAAUUCAGUCUUCCCGUCCUAUCAACCUGUGUGUGUUUGAAACCAUCUACAAUGCAGUCUCGAAUGUCCAAUCACCUCUGUAUUAAUUCAACAGUUGUUUGCGGAUCCCACAUGCAGCGUCCAGCUCCAUGCAAAGAACUCCUCAACCAGAUGAGGAGAACAGGUGGAUCCCAAGUUCAGGAGUUUCCCACAGGGCGAGUCCACGUAUGGAGGUGUUUCAGCAAAUAAAGCAAACAAUUGCUGAAAUCGUCUGUGCUCUGAAAAUGCCUAGGAUUAGGUCUGACUUCUGGGUCCAGUGGCCAAGUUUUGCCUCUGCUGAGCGUCUGCGAUGGGGCCCCACGAUCCCCCGCACCCCUGGACUAGUGCUAAUUCGACGCUGGUAAAAGCCCCAGCUUGUCUCACACCCCAACUGUUGGCUGGUUAGUAGGGACCACAAGGCAUAUUGCUUUUUAUGGACAAAGAGAUAAAAGUAAAUAUUGAAACAGUUUUGAAUAUUGAUGUUUGUGAAUUUGUUUCUGGGUACAGUGGCCAGUGACAGAGCAUACACAGGCGGACGACAGAGGUUGGGAUGGACGUUGACUUUUAAGUGCCUCUUACAUGAACCGAAUUCGGCCUUUCCUGCUGCCAACAUUACAGAGCUGAGUCCUCCCACUCCACGGCUGAAGGUCAAGCACAGCCUGCCCAGCCCAGUGAGUAUCUGUGCCACCAAGGAGGGCGGCACAGGCAACCACUGGAUCCUGUAAGGGACGCAUGGAGAGUCAACGAUCAUUCCGUCUUAAGGGGACCUCGGCGCUAUUAACUAUAUAUGGAGAUGAGGCCACGGGUCUCCUGUCCACGGCCAAGCUCUUUCCCAUGAAAGUGAUGGAUUUCCUCCAACUGUCCCAUCUGAUUAUGUCAUCUCCUUCAUGAACCUGCGGGACCGCUGUCGCUCCUCUUCCAGGUCUCUGAUCAGGAACAAUUACCCACAUGGCUAAAUGUUCUCCAUUCGUUUCUCAGUCAUAUAUAUAUGUAAAGUCCUCAAGGACCUACCAAGAGGAAGGCUGGGCCUCCAUUCCCCAGGUACAUAUGGAGGAAGGGGGUUGAGGAUGGCACCUUCAAAGGGCAGGGAAGAUUGCAGAGGAGGAGGGCUGGAGAAGGAAGGGUCACCAACCCCACGUUAGAGGGAUCCGACCCAUCCUCUCAGCCUUUCUUGUCAUCCGCCAUCCCAGGGCUCCAUGCAUGCAAAGUGACUGUAAGACAUCAGAGUUCCUCAUCCUUCGCCUCUGAAGCCACAUAUGGCUGGACCACAUAAGGGCCAGAGUUCUGGAGUCCAGCACUGGGGUUGGAGUCCUGACUUCCUGGCAGUGUGACCAAGACAUGUCCCUUAACUUUCCUGAGCUUGUGCUUGUCUUGGGUGCCCAGCACAAACAUUCAGUACACGUGAGCUGCUAUUAAAAACAUGGGUAAUUUUAUAUCUUAAAAUAUUGCAUAUUGCUUAAAUGGUUUCAUGCUGGCUCACAUUAAAAAUGAUUCCCAAGUGAAGAUGACAAAGGGGAAAUAUUCCUUAUUUAGUUCUUUUCUUACAUUAAGCUAUCAUAAUAAAGUACAUUUCUGG